GGCGUGAUGGUGGAGUGGUUAUCACGCAAGCCUGCUAUCAAUAGUCAGCUUGUCCCUUCGGGGGCGCAGGUUCGAAUCCUGCUCACGUCG